AGGAGAGAGAAAGGGGGGACCCCAGUGAAAAUACGUUUCAGAUUUACAAAGGGUGAAAGUAGGCUAAUGGAAAACUACAACGGCAGAGUUACUUCCUGGGUACAUUUCCCAGAAUAACACCUCUUCGCAUCUGUAGUCGAAGAACUAUUUCACUGCGCGCGAUUUAUUUUUUCGAAACCAUUUAUUCGCUGGUCCGGUUACACUUCGAAGUUAAUGUCAAGCUUUAUUCGUGAUCAAGAGAUCUAGAAAAUCGACAGGACUUCCAGAACGGGGAUGCCUGCCCCUGUCACAACAGACGCUGGGAAAGGCUCCUUUCUCUCCGAUAAAAGGAGGCCAAACAGCGCUGUACCUGGAACGAGGGGCGGCGCACCUCCUGCCUCCCUGGCCCACUUCAGCGCUCUGGUCGGGAGCCACCGCCAUCCCGCGCCCCCGGCCCCGAGGAGGACAGAUGGUCUUCCUCACUCGCGGAAACUCGGGGUUGCUAUGGCAGCCGGUCAGACUCCCGGCCCGGGAGGGCGUACGGCAGGACGUGGGCAAGGCCGCGGCGACCGCCUCCCGCCUCCCCUGGACGUUGUUCUAUGGCUCUUUUGCUCACCUUGAACCUGUGUCUCUAUCCGUCUGUUUCUCUCGCUCUCUGUCUUUCCCUCCCUCCCUGUGACCUGUCCCAGGCAGGCUGUGGCCCUGCUCUCCGUUUGAUCUUCAAAGCCCCGAGCCUCGAGUGCAGAGCUUCCCCAGGCCAGCUGAGGUUGAGGUGCUCUACACAGACAUCAGGUUUUUCCUCAAAACUCUGCACCCCCCAACCCCCCCCUGUCCCGGGACGCCUCUGGCACCAGGUGGGCUGAGUUAAGCUCCCAUUGAUUCUGUUGCUGGAUGGCUGGGCUUGCGGUUCUGAGCAGGCGGCAAGUUCCUUCACUGGGAAUCACCGAGACACAAAAAAAACACCUUUGGACACGUGUGGCUAAAUACGUGAGUCCUUCGUAUACCAACCUUUCUGCUUCCGUAGAUAAAAUCAAAGCAUGCAACAUAAAAUAAUUAAAUAUUAAAUGAAACAUGGAACAUAAAAUACGGAGAGUCGCAUAUGGGAGGAAUCCAAGGGCAUUUUUAACGCGCGUGUGUUUGUUUUAAGAACAAACGGCAUCAGCGUGCCAUAUCGGGGUCAUGGUAUUUCUGUAAUCAGCCCCUGCUUGCACUGUGUCUGCCACAAUCCACUGCCAUCAGUGUUCGUGCAGUUACGCCGUUUGCCUCACAAAACUUGACGUGACGCCAAAGCCUGAAAAAAGUCUUUUUACUCAGUGUGACUGACUUAUGUCAGACAGCAGCUCUUGCAGUAACAACGUCGUACCAAUAGAGGCAGUAGAUGGCAAGAGGGCCCGGAUAACAGUCGCAACCAAUAUUGACAGUGUGAGUGCCUGUUUAAUUCUUGUACCUCUCAGGAUCAAUACCUAUGACUUACAUCAGCAAACAUGUAGUGGUUUUUUGUAUACUAAAAUAAGACACAAAGACGUGGUUCCACAACCUCACUCCCUUAAAAUGACAAUGCAGAAGCAACACAGUAUAGCCAUGAGAUAUUAACCCUUUCAGGUGUAAGAUCACAAAUAUGCCAUUAGAAUGUUCUUAACCAAACAUUCUAAUGUGACGAUCACUACUGGUAAUUGAAAGCAAUGAAGUUCUAGAACACUGACUUAAAAACUUGAAACAACAUUCCGUAAACCUACUUUUCAAAGGGUUAAGAACCUAGUCCUCAUAACAGUGCGAAAAGUUAAGGUGGUGUGGUUGUGCGUGAGCAUUCCCCAACGUGUCCUCUAGGUGGCAGCGUUGUCUUUCUGGCCGCGGCCCUGCAGCCGGGUGGGCCCGGGGCUGCUCGUCGUUUCGCGCGGCGCAGAUCUAUCGCCUCUUAUUACGGGCGUAAUGAAGCCUGAGAUAUUGAAGUCUUUUAUUGAUUGCGCACGUGGCGCUAAACCCCCCCCACCCCCCCCCAACCCCCAACCCCCCCCCCCUUUUCCUGUCACGGCGAAUAUUCACCUUAUCCACUGAAGCAAAUUGCCGACACCUUUUAAAGAAGUGACAACUGUGUAUAUUUCACAAUCGCGAAUUCCAUUUUUGUAUCUGCGCCGACAAGAAUGCAAUUUUCACUUAAUUUAACCGGCCCGGGGACGGCGCGGCUCCUCGCGGCACUUAAAGCUGUCUGAAGUUUAAGACGCUCCAAUGUCGUCGCUCUUUCACUUCGGCGUGCGCCGUAGUUCUGUUUCCAGUGGACUCCCAUCCUUCCUGAAGCCUGUGAUUUGAGCUCCCUGUUUGUCUCGCUGAUUAUACGAAAGUACACAAGGGACAGGCUUCGAUAAUCAUCAAUAUAUACAGUAUACAUCAUAUAACGAUUAGGUGUUACUGCUGGACACUGUAAUCUGGUUGAUAUUUAACAAUAUUUUUGCCUGUGAAAACGCUCAGUGUACAGUAAUGUGAUGCGUUAAGAAUGGGGAAAACAUUACAUACAGCCCCUUUCCCAUAUUUCGACUGACGUGCAGUCGGCAUCAGAAUUGAAAUGGUUGCACGAGGAAUUCCUUUAAAGUGUUUUCAUGUGUCUGUGUAUGUUAUGAAUCUGACAUUAAAUAUGCAAUGUGCUUAUGAAAUAUAAUUCAGAAUAUAGACAGAUAUGUAAAAUAGUGUAUCAAUAAAUGCAGAACUCAAGGGUAAUUAUAAUUUACAAACAUGCAUUAUUAAUAUUAAUAGAACUGCACGCGUCUCAUAAAUAGAUCCAAUGAAUCGAACAACAUCGUUUGAACUGAAAGUGAAGAACAAUACUUUCUAACACAAGCAAUGAACUAUGACAAUUCAGUUAGUUAGCUGAUCCUGUCGUCUGGAUUUAAUCCAGUAUUGUAUCGACCCACAUUCUAAGGGACUUACAAAAAUAGGGAAAUCCAGUACAUUAUAGCACACAUGUAGGUGUACCUAAGGUACUGUACUUAAGUGUGUAGAAUAAAACAAAGUAUGUGGAGAAACGCAUCAAACUUUCAGUGCAAAGGCCGGCUGGUGAGUGCUUGCUAUGCUAAUCUCAAUCCAACGUAAUGAUGGCUUAACAUGGCCGUAUUAGGCUGCUUGCUAUAUCCUUGCCCAGGGAUUUGCUGUAUAAUACUCAUUCAUCGUGUCCAACAGCUCCCAAAGUCCGAGGUCCUGCUGAUGUGUACAGGUAAAACAGAGGUAAGGGUAAGGUAAGGUAAUGGAGGGGACGGGGGCGGGGUUUGUGUGGCGCCGUGAUUUUGGGUGCGGGGCAUCUCUGCAGGCGGUAAAUACAGCUGCCUCCGUUCAACCGCCGCGCUCCGCUGCCCUUUCACACGUCCCAUACCCCAAUCCCCCCCUCCCACACGUCUGUUUGUCCCCAAACACUGACACCACGCCUCGCACUGCCACCCCAGAUCGCGUGCCCCCACCCCCGCCAUCGCCGCAUCCGCAUAAUGGGAACGCUAACGCAAAGAGACAGGCCCCGCCACCUGAAAGCGUUAACUGCCCUCCCCAGCACACACACGAGCACGC